AAAUAAAAAACCAACGCCCUUCGGGGCUCCUUGGUGAAUCAUAAUAACUUAWMGAAUCGCAKGGCCUUGCGCCGGCGAUGGUUCAUUMAAAUUUCUGCCCUAUCAACUUUCGAUGGUAGGAUAGUGGCCUACCAUGGUGGCAACGGGUAACGGGGAAUUAGGGUUCGAUUCCGGAGAGGGAGCCUGAGAAACGGCUACCACAUCCAAGGAAGGCAGCAGGCGCGCAAAUUACCCAAUCCCGAUACGGGGAGGUAGUGACAAUAAAUACUGAUACGGGGCUCUUUUGGGUCUCGUAAUUGGAAUGAGAACAAUUUAAAUCCCUUAACGAGGAACAAUUGGAGGGCAAGUCUGGUGCCAGCAGCCGCGGUAAUUCCAGCUCCAAUAGCGUAUAUUAAAGUUGUUGCAGUUAAAAAGCUCGUAGUUGAACCUUGGGUCUGGCUGGCCGGUCCGCCUCACCGCGAGUACUGGUCCGGCUGGACCUUUCCUUCUGGGGAACCUCAUGGCCUUCACUGGCUGUGGGGGGAACCAGGACUUUUACUGUGAAAAAAUUAGAGUGUUCAAAGCAGGCCUUUGCUCGAAUACAUUAGCAUGGAAUAAUAGAAUAGGACGUGUGGUUCUAUUUUGUUGGUUUCUAGGACCGCCGUAAUGAUUAAUAGGGAUAGUCGGGGGCGUCAGUAUUCAGCUGUCAGAGGUGAAAUUCUUGGAUUUGCUGAAGACUAACUACUGCGAAAGCAUUCGCCAAGGAUGUUUUCAUUAAUCAGGGAACGAAAGUUAGGGGAUCGAAGACGAUCAGAUACCGUCGUAGUCUUAACCAUAAACUAUGCCGACUAGGGAUCGGACGGGAUUCUAUAAUGACCCGUUCGGCACCUUACGAGAAAUCAAAGUUUUUGG
rnacentral:rRNA from 1 species